rnacentral:rRNA from 1 species
CCUACGGGGGGCAGCAGUAGGGAAUAUUGCUCAAUGGGGGAAAUCCUGAAGCAGCAACGCCGCGUGGAGGAAGAAGGUUUUCGGAUUGUAAACCCUCUUUGUUAGAGAAGCUAAUGACGGUAUGUAACGCAUAAGCAGCGGCUAACUCCGUGACAACAGCCGCGGUAACACGGAGGGUGCAAGCGUUACUCGGAAUCUCUGGGCGUAAAGGGCGCGUAGGCGGGAUAGCAAGUCGGAUGUGAAAUCCUCUGGUUUAAACAUAGAAGUGCAGUUGAAACUGGUAGACUAGAGUAUGCGAGAGGUAGGUGGAAUUCGUGGUGUAGGGGUAAAAUCCGUAGAGAUCAAGAAGAAUACUCAUUGCGAAGGCGACGUGCUAGAACAAAACUGACGCUGAGGCGCGAAAGCGUGGGGAGCGAACAGGAUUAGAUACCCGAGUAGUC